rnacentral:rRNA from 1 species
UGCAAGUCGAGCGGAUGAGUGGAGUUUGCUCUGUGAUUCGAGUGGCGGACGGGUGAGUAAUGCCUAGGAACCUGCCUGGGUCUGGGGGACUACGUUUCCAAAGGAACCCUUAUACCGCAUUCCUCCUUGGGGGGAAAGCAGGGGACCUUUNGGCCUUGCCCUAUCAGAUGAGCCUAGGAUGGAUUAGCUAGUUGGUGGGGUGAAGGCUCCCCAAAGCGACGAUCCGUAACUGGUCUGAGAAGAUGAUCAUUCACCCUGGAACUGAUAAACCGUCCCCACUCCUCCUGGAGGCGGCAGUGGGGAAUAUUUGACAAUGGGGGAAAACCUGAUCCCCCCCUGCCGCGUGUGUGAAGAAGGUCUUCUGAUUGUUAAGCACUUUUUUUUGGGAGGAAGGGCGGUAAGUUAAUACCUUGCUGUUUUGACGUUACCGACAGAAUAACCACCGGCUAACUUCGUGCCAACAGCC